rnacentral:rRNA from 1 species
AUAUUACUAGGCGGAGGAAAAGAAACUAACCAGGAUUCCCUCAGUAACGGCGAGUGAAGCGGGAGAAGCUCAGACUGAAAAUCUUCGGAGUUGUAGUCUGGAGAGGAACAACAACAACUCAGUGUGGGGGAAGUCUUCUGGAACGAAGCGCCCAGGAGGGUGAUAGCCCCGUGACCCUACGACUGAGUUGGGUGUGUUGUCCUUCAAAGAGUCGAGUUGUUUGGGAUUGCAGCUCUAAGUAGGUGGUAAAUUCCAUCUAAAGCUAAAUAUGGGUGGGAGACCGAUAGCGCACAAGUA